AAAACUCGGUAAGUGGACGGAAGAAAAUGCAGAAGAUUUUUGGUCCCAACACUGAGCCUUGGGCCACUCCAACAUCAAGCGGUACCGAGUUAGAAAGUUCGGAACCGAUUGGUAUACGUUGCGGUUUUUUUUUUUACUUAUGUAAGAUUUGAUCCACAAAAGGGCAUACCAGGAGAAUUAUGCAUUCUAGGAUUAAGUUAAUUUAAAGUCAAAGGAGAAGAGUUAAUAAAAAAGAAAGGUCCAUGUUUCCCCAGUUAAGAAAAGCGAUCAAUUCGAUUCAGAAGUCGUCAUUCUUCCUAAUAAACCUUUAAAGUGGAACGUUACGCCAAAUUUUUCUAUGGAGUGUUAAAGUAUCAACUCUGAAACAGGAUUUCGUUGUUCAAAAAGGAUAUAUGCCUCUAUUUAUUUUAUGCAAAUAUAUUACGGAUGGAAUGUCGUGAUAAAGAUAAUAAAGAAAAAAGGAUUACUUAUCCUAUUAACGACGAUUUUUCUGAACAUAGCAGUUGUCUUCUCUGUGAGGAGGAGACCAAAAUUUUCAGAUUCAGACAGAAAGAGACGCAGAAAUGAGAUUUUCAUCAUUGUUUUCCUCUUCUUGAUAGUAACGCUAUUCUCAAUAUGCUGGAUUCCAUUAAUGGUCCGUAUGCUGAUUAACGCUAGCUCAAGUGACCCAAAAAAUGGACCGGAAGAACUCUUAGCAGUGCGCAUGACCAUAAGCAACGCCAUUGUAGACCCUUGGAUCUAUAUCAUCUUGAGAAAAGAAAAUUUGAAGAAGAUUUUAGCAUUGGUUCAAAGAUUUCGCAAAACGGAGAAUCUACCAACUGUAUUUUUUACAAGUGAAUCAAACUCUACUAGAACGGAUGAUGUUUCAAAUCUAUGAACAACUUCGACUUGUUUCAUAUGUGCUUUUUUAUGGUUUAUUGUUAAUUAUUAAUAUUUUCGUUUGUGAUAAUGUAAUUU
rnacentral:misc_RNA from 1 species